UACGUAGGGUGCAAGCGUUAAUCGGAAUUACUGGGCGUAAGGCGUGCGCAGGCGGUUAUGUAAGACAGGUGUGAAAUCCCCGGGCUUAACCUGGGAACUGCAUUUGUGACUGCAUAGCUAGAGUACGGUAGAGGGGGAUGGAAUUCCGCGUGUAGCAGUGAAAUGCGUAGAUAUGCAGAGGAACACCGAUGGCGAAGGCAAUCCCCUGGACCUGUACUGACGCUCAUGCACGAAAGCGUGGGGAGCAAACAGG
rnacentral:rRNA from 1 species